rnacentral:rRNA from 1 species
GAUGAACGCUGGCGGCGUGCCUAAUACAUGCAAGUCGAGCGAACAGACGAGGAGCUUGCUCCUCUGACGUUAGCGGCGGACGGGUGAGUAACACGUGGAUAACCUACCUAUAAGACUGGGAUAACUUCGGGAAACCGGAGCUAAUACCGGAUAAUAUAUUGAACAGCAUGGUUCAAUAGUGAAAGACGGUUUUGCUGUCACUUAUAGAUGGAUCCGCGCCGCAUUAGCUAGUUGGUAAGGUAACGGCUUACCAAGGCAACGAUGCGUAGCCGACCUGAGAGGGUGAUCGGCCACACUGGAACUGAGACACGGUCCAGACUCCUACGGGAGGCAGCAGUAGGGAAUCUUCCGCGAUGGGCGAAAGCCUGACGGAGCAACGCCGCGUGAGGGAUGAAGGUCUUCGGAUCGUAAAACUCUGUUAUUAGGGAAGAACAAAUGUGUAAGUAACUAUGCACGUCUUGACGGUACCUAAACAGAAAGCCACGGCUAACUACGUG